rnacentral:rRNA from 1 species
UACGUAGGGGGCGAGCGUUGUCCGCAGUUACUGGGCGUAAAGCGCGCGUAGGUGGUCAUUUAAGUCUGAGGUGAAAGGUUCAGCGCUCAACGUGAACAGUGCCUUGGAUACUGGGUGACUUGAGUUCGGGAGGGGGCUGUGGAAUUCCAGGUGUAGCGGUGAAAUGCGUAGAUAUCUGGAGGAACACCGAUGGCGAAGGCAGCAGCCUGGCCCAGAACUGACACUGAGGUGCGAAAGCGUGGGGAGCGAACGGG